rnacentral:rRNA from 1 species
CCUACGGGAGGCAGCAGUAGGGAAUUUUCGUCAAUGGGCGCAAGCCUGAACGAGCGAUGCCGCGUGAGUGAAGAAGGCCUUCGGGUCGUAAAGCUCUGUUCCGGGGGCAACAAGGCAGCAUCAGGAAAUGUGUGCUGACUGAUGGUGCUCCGCCUGAACGUCACGGCUAACUACGUGCCAGCAGCCGCGGUAAUACGUAGGUGGCGGGCGUUAGCCGGAAGGAUGGGGCGUAAGGGGUGCGCUGGCGGUCCUGCAAGUCUGGAGUGAAACGCAUGGGCUCAACUCAUGCAUGGCAUUGGAUACUGGAGGACUGGAGAGCAGGAGAGGGCGGUGGAA